rnacentral:rRNA from 1 species
UUUGACCGUGCAAAGGUAGCAUAGUAGUUAGUUUUUUAAUUGGGAUCUUGUAUGAAUGGUUGGACAAAAGAAACUCUGUCUCUAUAAUUUUUAUUGAAUUUAACUUUUAAGUGAAAAGGCUUAAAUUAUUUAAAAAGACGAUAAGACCCUAUAAAGCUUAAUAAAUAAAUUUACCAUGUUUGAGUUAGUAAUAAUAUUUUGGCAAAUAAAAUUAUUUUGUUGGGGAGACAAUAUUAUAAUUGUUAGUAACUGUGAAUAAAUAGUACAUGAAUUUAUGUGUAGUUAAAAUAAAAGAUCCUACUAUAAAGAUUAAAAGUUUAAGUUACUUUAGGGAUAACAGCGUUAUUUUUUUUAAGAGUUCUUAUCGAAAAAAAAGAUUGCGACCUCGAUGUUGAAUUAAAAGUUCCAGAUAAUUGUAGCAGUUGUUUGAGAAGGUCUGUUCGACCUUUAAAUUUUUA